CUACCAAGACAGUGACGGUUGACGGGAAAUAAGGGUUUUAUACCGGAGAGGGAGCCUGAGAGAUUGCUCCCACGUCCAAGGACGGCAGCAGGCGCGAAAAUUGCCCACUCUUUGUAGGAGGCAGUUAUGAGACGUGAAAUUGAAUAUCUUGUAAAGAAGGAUAGGAGAAUUGGAGGGCAAGUUUGGUGCCAGCAGCCGCGGUAAUACCGACUCCAAGAGUGUGUAUGAGAGAUGCUGCAGUUAAAAAGUCCGUAGUCAUAAAAAAAUAAAUAGGAGUGCGAAGUUUCUUAUUAGUAUUGUUGAGGAACCGAUGGGGAACAUAGUAUACCAGGGCGAGAGAUGAAAUGCCAAGACCCCUGGUGGACUAAGCGAGGCGAAGGCGAUGUUCUUGUAGGUAUUCGGUGAUCAAGGACGAAGGCUGGAGUAUCGAAAGUGAUUAGAUACCGCAGUAGUUCCAGCAGUAAAAGAUGCC
rnacentral:rRNA from 1 species